UACAGAGGGUGCAAGCGUUGUUCAGAAUUAUUGGGCGUAAAGGGAGUGUAGGCGGCAUUGAAAGUCUUCUGUGAAAUCUACGGGCUUACCCCGUAACGUGCAGAGGAUACUCCAAAGCUAGAGUGUCGGAGAGGAUAGUGGAAUUCCAGGUGUAGAGGUGAAAUUCGUAGAGAUCUGGAGGAACACCAGUGGCGAAGGCGACUAUCUGGCUGACAACUGACGCUGAGACUCGAAAGCAUGGGGAGCAAACAGG
rnacentral:rRNA from 1 species